UAGGGAAUCUUCCGCAAUGGGCGAAAGCUUGACGGAGCAACGCCGCGUGUGUGAUGAAGGUCUUCGGAUCGUAAAACUCUGUUAUUAGGGAAGAACAAAUGUGUAAGUAACUAUGCACGUCUUGACGGUACCUAAUCAGAAAGCCACGGCUAACUACGUGCCAGCAGCCGCGGUAAUACGUAGGUGGCAAGCGUUAUCCGGAAUUAUUGGGCGUAAAGCGCGCGUAGGCGGUUUUUUAAGUCUGAUGUGAAAGCCCACGGCUCAACCGUGGAGGGUCAUUGGAAACUGGAAAACUUGAGUGCAGAAGAGGAAAGUGGAAUUCCAUGUGUAGCGGUGAAAUGCGCAGAGAUAUGGAGGAACACCAGUGGCGAAAGCGACUUUCUGGUCUGUAACUGACGCUGAUGUGCGAAAGCGUGGGGAUCAAACAGG
rnacentral:rRNA from 1 species